AUGCUAAUACCGCAUAACAACUUGGACCGCAUGGUCCGAGUUUGAAAGAUGGCUUCGGCUAUCACUUUUGGAUGGUCCCGCGGCGUAUUAGCUAGAUGGUGAGGUAACGGCUCACCAUGGCAAUGAUACGUAGCCGACCUGAGAGGGUAAUCGGCCACAUUGGGACUGAGACACGGCCCAAACUCCUACGGGAGGCAGCAGUAGGGAAUCUUCCACAAUGGACGAAAGUCUGAUGGAGCAACGCCGCGUGAGUGAAGAAGGGUUUCGGCUCGUAAAACUCUGUUGUUAAAGAAGAACAUAUCUGAGAGUAACUGUUCAGGUAUUGACGGUAUUUAACCAGAAAGCCACGGCUAACUACGUGCCAGCAGCCGCGGUAAUACGUAGGUGGCAAGCGUUGUCCGGAUUUAUUGGGCGUAAAGCGAGCGCAGGCGGUUUUUUAAGUCUGAUGUGAAAGCCUUCGGCUCAACCGAAGAAGUGCAUCGGAAACUGGGAAACUUGAGUGCAGAAGAGGACAGUGGAACUCCAUGUGUAGCGGUGAAAUGCGUAGAUAUAUGGAAGAACACCAGUGGCGAAGGCGGCUGUCUGGUCUGUAACUGACGCUGAGGCUCGAAAGUAUGGGUAGCAAACAGGAUUAGAUACCCUGGUAGUCCAUACCGUAAACGAUGAAUGCUAAGUGUUGGAGGGUUUCCGCCCUUCAGUGCUGCAGC
rnacentral:rRNA from 2 species